rnacentral:rRNA from 1 species
CGGACGGGUGAGUAAUGUCUGGGAAACUGCCUGAUGGAGGGGGAUAACUGCCGGAAACGGUAGCUAAUACCGCAUAACGUCGCAAGACCAAAGAGGGGGACCUUCGGGCCUCUUGCCAUCGGAUGUGCCCAGAUGGGAUUAGCUAGUAGGUGGGGUAACGGCUCACCUAGGCGACGAUCCCUAGCUGGUCUGAGAGGAUGGCCAGCCACACUGGAACUGAGACACGGUCCAG